rfam:Pseudogymnoascus pannorum VKM F-3775 contig_4382, whole genome shotgun sequence.
GCGCCUUCCCCACAGUCAUCCGGUACUCAUUUUCCGAAAGGAAUGCCUCUGGCCUCUUCUCCAGUCCAGCAACCUCUCGCGGCGUCGCAUCCUGGAGCUCCACGCGAGUCUCACUAUGAGCAUGCCGCGAUCGGUUCCGCGUCUGGUUGCAGCCCCCCCGGUGGGCGGGCAACAUGGACUGGAGUUGAGAAUGGGUAUUGGAACUUAACCCUAAGUAAUCGUUGGUUUUUUUCAAGUUUUGUAGAUAUGUUGCUCGGCUUGUUUACUACGCCUCUUGGUUCGAAACUUGUUAAGCUGAAAAGUGGUGCAACAGAAGAUCAAGAGGCCGAAACACAAGCUGGGGAGCCCAGAGUUUUCGGACACAAAAGAGAUGUUCCUAUGAGCCAUUCUGGUAAUACCCUCCGCGAGGGAGCUCGUCAGGUUCAUCUGCUGGGCGUUAUACUCUGAUCAAGUCCCGACUGUUUCUUUGGUGCUCAAGCCAUUGGUA